AUGGUGGAGGGAAGGAGCUGUCUCCCUGCAGAGAUCAGGAAUGGGCUUGAGACUCUGAAGAAGAGGAGACUUGAGAGGAUGCGUUUGAGUGCUCAGAAAGACACCGGUGACAAUCCUGCCAUGGCUGCGAGGAGCGGCGGGGAUUCACUGCGGACUCCUGCAAACUGUGGGGUGAGAUUGCAUGCCAACAACGUUACUGCGGGUUUACCUAGCACUAGCAGUGCCCAGAACAAUAAUCCAUUCGCAAAGCGCAAGGUGGACAAGUUCAAUAUGUCUAACCUAGAGUGGAUAGACAACAUACCAGAGUGCCCUGUGUAUUGCCCCACCAAGGAGGAAUUCGAGGAUCCCAUUGCGUAUAUACAGAAAAUUUCCCCAGUGGCUUCAAAAUACGGCAUUUGCAAAAUUGUGGCUCCUGUAAGCGCUUCUGUGCCUGCUGGUGUCGUGCUGAUGAAGGAACAACCUGGUUUUAAGUUCAUGACUAGAGUUCAGCCACUUCGUCUUGCUGAAUGGGCUGAAGACGACACGGUCACUUUCUUUAUGAGUGGACGAAAGUACACUUUCAGAGACUACGAGAGAAUGGCCAACAAAGUGUUCUCUAAGAAGUAUUCCAGUGCUAGUUGUCUCCCUGCUAGGUACGUGGAGGAGGAAUUCUGGCGUGAAAUCUCUUCUGGAAAGAUGGAUUUUGUUGAAUAUGCUUGUGAUGUUGAUGGGAGUGCCUUCUCUUCUUCUCCUCGUGAUCAGCUUGGGAAAAGCAACUGGAACCUCAAGAAUUUUUCACGGCUCCCCAGUUCUGUGCUGAGACUUCUGCAGACGCCAAUUCCAGGAGUGACAGAUCCAAUGCUUUAUAUCGGUAUGCUCUUUAGCAUGUUUGCAUGGCAUGUUGAAGAUCACUAUUUGUACAGCAUCAAUUAUCAUCAUUGUGGGGCAUUUAAGACAUGGUAUGGGAUACCAGGCGAUGCUGCUCCUGGAUUUGAAAAGGUGGCAAGCCAGUAUGUGUACAACAAGGAUAUUUUGACUGGUGAUGGAGAGGAUGCGGCUUUUGAUGUUCUGUUAGGGAAGACAACAAUGUUCCCCCCAAAUAUCUUGUUAGACCACAAUGUUCCUGUUUAUAAAGCUGUGCAGAAGCCUGGAGAGUUUGUUAUAACAUUCCCUCGUUCAUACCAUUCAGGUUUCAGCCAUGGCUUCAAUUGUGGAGAGGCUGUCAAUUUUGCUAUUGGCGACUGGUUUCCCCUGGGCUCUCUGGCUAGCAAACGCUACGCACUUCUGAACAGAACACCCUUUCUUGCACAUGAGGAGCUACUUUGUCGUUCUGCGAUGCUUCUGUCCCACAAACUGAGUGAUCCAGAAACAAUUAAUUCUGAACAUCCAUACACUCAAUAUUGUGUGAAGUCUUCCUUUGUGAGAUUGAUGCGACUGCAGCGGCGCACACGCAGCUUACUCGCUAAAAUGGGUUCUCAGAUAUACUACAAGUCAAAAAUGUAUUCGAACCUAUCAUGUAGCAUGUGCCGGCGUGAUUGCUACGUUACACAUGUGUCAUGCGGAUGCACCUUUGAUCCUAUCUGCCUUCAUCAUGAACAAGAACUGCGGAGCUGCUCUUGUAAAUCUGACCGGAUUGUCUACGUCAGAGAGGACAUACUGGAGUUAGAGGCUCUAUAUAGAAAAUUCGAGCAGGAUAUUCGCCUGGAUAAGGAAACAAGUGCUAAUGUCUCGUAUAAGCAAGCUGCGAUUUCUGAUAUUGGUGAUGAUCAUGGUCCAUCAGUUGGGACUAACCAGGACAUAAGCAACAGUGAAGCAAACUUGCUAGAAGCAAAUGCUGCUAACGGUGGAAAGAGUUCUCCUGCAACUUCAUCGUUGACGUCUUUUGCACAACGAGACGGGUCUCUGGCUGCAGAACCAAAGGCCCAUGCAGCUCGAACCGACCAAAUUUGGUCAAUUACUAAGCAGUUCAUAAAAACAUCAUCAAUGGAAGGAAAUGGUCUGCUGGAUGGCAAUUCAUCCUGCAUGGCUGAUGCUUGCAAUGAAAUUAGUUCCUGCAAUGCUUCACCCAUGGAAUACAGUGGCAAUUCUGAUUCUGAUUCCGAAAGCUUCCGGGUCAAGCGCAGAUCCAGCAUAUUAGGAAGAUCUGCUCCUGACACAAAGACAACAAACAUGUCUGAACAGAAGGUUCUGAAGCGGCUGAAGAAGGCAUCCCCAGAAACACAACAUGACAAUAAGCGACCUGAAGAAGACUCAGUUCCCUCAGUUAGUAUGAGGCACAAUAAGUCAAAUUCUGCCUCUUCUGAGGAAGAUAGAGAGGACAUGGUUCCCAUUGCCUGGAGGAUGAAGCGGCGGCAGCUGGAAGCUCAACAAGGCGACACCAGUUAUGCCGUGCAGCAGUCGAAGGUGUAUCCAUCUACCAGCAGCUGUUCCCAGCAGCAGUCGAAGGUGUAUCCAUCUACCAGCAGCUGUUCCCAGCAGCAGUUUGCGGAGGCAACUAAAGACGCAGCAGCCUCAGAGGUCCGGCCGAAGCGGGUGAAGAUCCGGUUGCCUCGUAGCUAUAACAGGCUGGUCGAGCAGCAGCAGCAGGGCAGUUCAGGCCAGAGAUUUGCAGUGGAUGACAAGCCGCCUGGGUUUUGGCAUACGGUUUAG
rnacentral:rRNA from 1 species